CUCAGCACUGCGGAGAGAUAACAGCUCUGAUAACCUGCGCCGGGCCGAGGGGCCCCUCGCCAGCACAGCGCUAAUCCCUCCACAGCCACACAAACCCACUCACAGCACUGCGAGCUCAGCAUUUUCUCACUCAAGCGCCAGGUCCUGAGAUCAAAGAAAGUCAGGAAAUCGCAAGCUUCUGCCUUCCUUUGAGCACUUGUUAUACUUACAGCUCUGCAGAUAUCAGGCAACAACCAAAAAGCGAACCAAAGCCUCGCUAAUCUGUGAGUUCCAAUCAUAACUCCAAAAUAACUGGUGACAACAGAGCAGAAACAAGGGGCUGACACUGAGGAAUAAGCAUCAGACUGUGUAACUCCUCGUGGGUCAGACACACCUGGGCACACCCCAGACACAAUAGCACAGAGCUCCUCAGCAGCUGACCCACCCUCUGGGAAGAGCAUCUUACAGCUCACAGUUCUCUAAUAACCUCCUGAACAGAUGCUGAACGGACUCAAAACCUGCUGAAAUCAAUGGCAACGAAACGCAUCCUGCAAAUCCAGCCUCUUACUCGGGAUUACGAGUACAUAGAUGUGGAUGCCUGCAUCUGCACUUAUACAAAAAGCUGCAAACUAAAGAACUUCAAGCAUCACUGAUGCCUGAAAGAGUCUUUUCAAAUAUUAUUUUUUACUUCCAGUUCUUAGGUUAUUACUUUCUGAAGGGCUGACACUAUAUGCUAAUUAUAGAGAACAAUAAGUUCAGAAGUUUCAAUGGCUGCAUUGAUACUUCUGCACUGUAACAACGCAUUUGUUCUUGCCCCAGAGGGGGCUGGGGCACUGCCCAGGCUCCCCGGGGAAUAGGCACAGCCCCACGGCUGCCAGAGCUCCAGGAGCAUUUGGACAACGCUCUCAGGCACAGGGUGGGAUUGUUGGGGUGUCCCAUGCAGGGCCAGGAGCUGAAUCAAUGACCAGGAGUCCCUUCCAACCCAGGACAUUCUGCAAUUGAUAAAGUGAGGUUUAUGCACGUUUCCAUCUGCAUCAUGAAGGACAUAGUGCAGAACGGGAUAUGCAACGAGGAUGAUCCCAGCUCGAUGGAACAUUAGUAAAAGUGUUCUUUCGUAUGUUUUAGAAGUGGCAUUACGAUACUAAACUCUAGAGCGAAAACUGGGGUGGGUAAGCACACAGGUGCCUCUCGGUAGGGACACGAUGUGAGCGCUGCAGGGGUGAGCAGCGGGAGGACAGCGGUGACCCUGCCCUGCGCCCAGGGCUCACACCUCCCACCGCACCUGCGGCGAACUGCGACACAGGCAGCAUUUCCACACAAACGCUUUCAAACGGGAGAGCGGCUCGUUUCAAACUGAAUUCCACAGAGGGUAAAAUAUAUAACAAUACAGAAAAUCAACGAGAAGCUGAGCCCAACAGGAGCAAGGGGCACGUUUGCCUCGGGUGGAGAGACCCUGAGCAUCGCAGCCCGCGGCUGAGGAGACCCCGCGCGCGGCUGAGGAGACCCCGCGGCGCACUGAGGGGGAGACCCCGCGGCGCACUGAGGGGGAGACCGCCAUCAUCCUGCCCGGCUUGUUUUUCCUUCCUAAUAAAAAAACCCCCAAGUUCUCUUGUGCUCCAAGCAGUUGCAGCAUCUUUCCCAGAUCCCACCCCACCUCUCUCCACCAGCUGCCAAGGGAAUUGCACAGCAGUCUCUGGACACCGAUGACCCGUGAGAGAGGAGAAGCCAGAUGAGCUCCUGUACCUGCUUGCCUUGGGGCAGGAGGUUCAGCGUGCCGUACACCACCACGCUGCUCUCCGUGGACAGCACCAGCCCGUUGUAGCACUGGCACUGCAGCGAGACACACAAAGGCACAGAUGCGUGGCUGCAUGGCAAUUCGUACAACGCCACCACCAGCAGCCUGUGAUGCUGACUGGGAACACACUGGGAACACACUGGGAACGGAUGCCAGCGAAGUGAUCUGCUGGGAAGAGCUGAACCCAUUUAGUCCUGGAGCUGUGCAGGUGUUCAAGCACUUCAUUCCUUCUCAGGUUCCCAUUUGGAAUGUCAGUGGAAAGGAGUAGUUUGCAAGGAGGACAGCCAGCUCUGUGCACAGAUUUCCAGCAAUGGUUCCCUGCACAUGGGAACAGGUGUGUGCCCACAGGAGGAUGCAUCCAGCUCUGGCUGAUGAGAAAAGAGGCAGAGCCCCGCCGCAAUCCGUGGGGACUCCGUAAGGAUGUGCAGCCACCCACAGAGUUACACGUGCUGCAGCUUUUGACAACACAGAAUACCUUCACUGAAGUCUUUUUUCUCUCUCUACUAAUCCUCCUCCCACUCAGCAAGAAAAGUAGCUGCACAGGCUCACACAGAUGCCACGCUAUCAGCCUUACUUCAGAAUAAUUUAACACAUCUCUGGAGAACUGUUCCUGACUCUUGUUUGGGGAGGCUGGGAAUCGGGUUCCCUGCAGUGUUCAACCUGUACCCUCAGAUAAACAACACAUUUAGGUUUUGGUUGGUUACUAUUUCCUACUCUUGCUCUCAGAAUUCCUGCAAAUUGUUGUCUUGCCAGAGAAGCUCCAAGGAGCCUGACUUGGAUGGAUGGAGCUGUGCUGUCCCCAGCUUCCCUCUGCCGUGUGUUGCCAUCCCUGUGAGUGUCAGCAGAAAUGAUUGUGUUCAGAAUUUAUGAACAGACAAGCAAAACAUGUUUGUCUGGCACAGAAAUGCCAACCUGCUGAACCUCAGGUAGCCUCAGAUGGUGUUUCUGACAGAUCUGUACAUCUUCCUUGCUGACGAAGAUUUAUCUCUGAAUCUUUCUGUGUCAGAGAAGGAGUUUGUUCUUUUGAGGGUGGUUUGAGUACAUGAGCAUACCAGAUGGAGAUGAAUAUGGAAGCACCAGAAGAACAGUCUCCAUGUGAUGUUCAGCCAGUUCAGGAUUGAAUUUCAACCAUGGCCCCAAGAAGGUUAGAGGGUGCUAUAAAGAGGUGUAAUCUUACAGAAAUAAGUAGUAAGGCGGAUAAGGUUUUAAGGCAAGAAAAACCAUCACAGGUUUCAUACCAUCUGGCACUGGCCAUUUUUGGUUUGCCAGGGUAAGUGUCUCUACUCCCUGUGUGGUUGAUCGAUGAAAAAUGUCCAUGAGUGCAAUUCAGAGGCUGGGUGGAUUGAACUGAUUCCUCUUCAGAGCCUAAGAUGGCUCGGUAAGUAUAAACCAUAUAAAGUCCUCCUUUUUCAGGGAGGGACCUUUCCAAGUAAUCUCAGUUUUUACAUUUUUGCACAAUUCUUAAUCCCAUUCUAUUCCUUCCUUGUAUUUUGGGCACGUUUGGAACCUGUGCUGCCACUUGACCCCACAUAUGUGCAUCAGCCCCUUAACUCAACUUUGAGCUUUACUUAUUGCACAUGGUGAAUAUUGGGUUUGUGUAACAGAUCUCUGGCAGAGUGGUUCUUUCCCCACAUUUUUGUGUGAAUUAGAGCAAUCUGAGAUACCCUUUGUAGACUUGUUCUAUGCUUCAAUGUUUGACUCACGACUCUAAUCUGGUGCCAUCUUCAUGGCUUUAUGUACCUCUUACCCACCCACACCUCAGAUUGAUUUUCCUCCUACUCACCCUUUUGCUCACUACUCUCCUCCCAGUUCUCCUCUAACUAAUCCCUCUUGUUUCCCUCUGCUCUGUUUUGUUUGUUCCCUCUUCUUCUUCCCUCCUCUGUGGUGCUCAGCCUAUCCAGCUGUGGGACGCUGGGCCAAGGGUGCCAUGUGAGCCAUACAGCCAAGGGGGAAGUGCCUUGCUGGGCUCCUCAACAGACCGACACUGAGUACUUCCAGGAGUAUUUUGGAAUAUGGAUAUUCUUAAUUGGCAUUCCUUAUCCUACACCAGAACUCUCUUGUACUGUUAAUUAUUAGACUGUUCUGAAUCUGUGUUUUGAAGAGAGACCCUGCAUUUCCCAAACCAUGCCCAGGCUCUGGAGAAAUGUUGGGCAGCUUGAGUUGAAGUUAGACAAACAGCAUAAGAGAAUAGAGAGAAAAUAUUCUGGCUGUUUCGCACAUGGUUGCUCUCAUGGUAUGCCCUACAGUCCCCUCAGCCUGCAAGUGAACUGUUUAUAAAGAUAAUUCCACUAAGCACAGACAACUGAUUCAUUUCCCUACAGCAGUCACACUCACAGAAAUCCUAGUGAAACACUUACUCAUUAACAUUCUGCAAUUUUAUUGCUGCAGUAUCCACUGCUGCAGUAUUCCUUUAGGUUAAGGCACCUCAGGAAGUUCAGUCAAUAACUUGUGCCAUGACAGUUUGCUUUGGUUGAAUGCACAGAAAUUUUUAAAAACAGUACAAACCCAAAUGGAACCAAAGAGCUCAUUGAACAGGACUAUCCAAAUGCCUCAGUGUGAGCUGGUGGGAUUGGUGCCACAUCCUGGCAAGCACUUCGUGGGGUUGGAGCCGAAUCUUUCACCCCUUUCAGAGGGAUGCUGUUGCUUUCUGUGCCCGAGGAUCUUCCAGGGUCUCCAGGUUAAUAUUAUCCUUCUUCUAAUGAGCAUGUUUUAUUCAAGAACAGGUAUUUCCUAAAAGAUUUGAUAUGGGGACAUCUCCUGAAGGAAACCACAAAAAGUCACUUUUCUCCCAAAUCUUUAUAGCCCUGUGCAGAAAUGGUUGAAAGCUUCUUACACCUCCUUUCAGGAACACCUGUCAGUAUUGUCUGACUUCACACAACUGAAACAAAGGCACAGAAAUGGUAAAGCUCAUUGCUGCUUUUGAGAGAGGGAGAUCCAAAAUCUCCCUUUUGGACAGGAACAAAGAUGGGGGGGCUGAGAUUUCUUGCCAAACCUCACUGAAGUAGUUUGUCUGUUAUUAAUUGUAUGUUUGUCACACUUUAAAGGGUCUAAAGGCCAUGUCUUGGGGAUCACUCCUGUUUCUCCUUCAGACAUGGUCAGGUAGGACUGUGAGUUUGACCUGCCUUCAAUUCCACAAGAAUCAAAAUCCUGAUGUUGUCUGGAUUUGAGGUAAGUGAAUGAGUUCUACUUUAGAAAGAUGAUAUUAAAAGUAGGGAUAGCCCUAAUAAUGUCUCAAUUAUUAACAGAAACUGACAUCACUGCGAGGAGGGUUGGAUCAUCAAAUUAACUUUCCUGGUUUCAACCCCCAUGAUUUUCCCCAUCAAUCUCUAAAUUUCUGUCAAAAGUACCACUAUAUUCUGUGUUCCUUAGUAGAUGGGAGUGGAUGCAAGUGGCUGUAACAUUUCUAAUUUCUGAAUCUGUAAGUGCUACAACAGAGGAUGAAAAAUCAGAUCAGAGUACACCAGAGCUGUAAGAAAUCCCAUCAGACAAAUUGAGAUAUCUGACUCCCUAAAUAUUCGUGUGACCCAACCUGGACUUUUCAUAGAACUAGUGGAGCUCACUGUGAGUGAGAGCAAAGCUUCAGGAGUGAACAAUACAGUUACUGGCACUUGUAAAUGUGCAGCUGCAAUUACCCAACACCUGGGUGCUGCUUCAGGCACCGCCUUCCUGAGCACAGUGUUCAAGCACAGCCCCUCACUUGGUGUGAGCCAUUUACCAACUGCCUGGGAGCAAGGGGCUCAAAAAGCUUUUCAAAUCAAGAAUUUCAGUGAUUGGAAAAGCCAGUUGAAUUGAUUUUGAUUAAAAAAAAAAAAACAACCGACCAAAACAAAAGAUACUAAAAUGUAUCUAAAUCUCCUGCGUUAUGUCAGUAGGAUCUCAAUUAAGAGUACCUGACUGACUGCACUUGGCUUUUAUAUUGGAGUAGUUCUAAAGUCCCUCUCCUUCCUGAUUUGCUCUUAGAAUCAUGGAAUCGUGGAAUGGUUUGGGUUGGAAAAUCAGAUCUCCAAUCUGAUUUUUUGUGGAACUGUUAUCCCUCCUCCCUGCUGUUCUGCAGAGUCCCCGUGCACACUGACCAGUUAAUCCCAUAAUCCCAGUUGGAGAUGAAAAGUAAUGGCAGUAAAGUGGAAGAUGUUAGCAAGUGUGAUAGACUGAGGAUAAUGAUUCCUCUUGCAGCAGUGUGAGAAAAUCUGUCCUCAUGCAUCCAAAACCUGCCAGGAGGAGGAGGAGGAGGACUUGUCCUAACCUGGAUAAACCUCCACAAAGCAACUGUGCUGCACUUGGCAUUUGGAAUGGAAGAAGUCAUUCCGUGCCCAGCAGACACAGGAGAAAUGAUUGUCAGCUGCAACCCAAACAGUGGGGUUACGAAACCCAAAGUGCAGGAGAAAUCUCCACCCCGAAACGAGAUAUGCAUUCAUGAUUUGGAAUUCCAAUGGGACGGGUGGGGUGGGUGUGCUGAUUACUGUUUGGGGCAGGAAUGAUAGAGGAUUUACAAAAGCUGGGCUCCUUCCCAGAGCUUGCGAGUUUGAACACGGCAAUGUCUCCUUAAAGGUCAGCAGAGAGGGAUUUUAGUGCAAAUUCCCUAUUGAUAAUCCUGCAGAGAAUGAGCAAUGCAGGCAACAAUCCGGAAACUUCCAUGAGACCCAAAUUCCUUUGCUCCUCUUCCCAGGGGCAGGGCUCCAGAGCUUGAGCUGACCUCUCCCUUCCUUCCCCCUUCCUUCCAGAAAGCAUUGGUGCAGGAUUUUCACUGGGGCUAUGCCAGCCAAAAAUACCCUUGAAGGAUCCUGGACAAGGAAUUGUGCCCUCAGUAAAAACAUUUCAAGCUCAUAUGGAGUAUCCCACCAUGGCCAUGUGUUGGGGUGGUGUGCUGACAGCUCUUGGGGUGGCACACCAGCUUUAGCAAGACAUGAACUAAGAAAAGCUAUAUUUGGUGGGGUAGCCCAAUGCUGCAAGUACCAAAUCUGCAGCCAGAAAGUGCUUUACAGGAAGGUGCAGGUCUGUUGUCUCAGGGUUGUGUUUGUCAGGGCUCUUACUCCCAAAGAGCCACCCUGUAACGGGCUGGGAGGGGAGGUAAAGAGGAUGAGGAUUGCAAAGGCACUGCUUAGAACUGAAAUGGAUUGUUUGAAAGGUCCCACAGGUUAAGGAAAGCUGGGGAGCUUAGAGGGACUGGCUGUGCUAUAGGUUUGCAGCAGGAAAGGGACUGAAGGAGGGGGUAUGGGCCUGUAAGAGCACAAAUCUCUGGAGAAGAUGGACACCUGAUACUUAUUCCCUAUGCACCAUAAUAUAAGAACCAGGAGAAAUCAAAUUACAUAGAAUUAUAGAGAGGCUAACAGAAGGAGGUAAUUUUCCACUCCGGCCAGUUCCAGAGACAAGAGACCAAGCAAGAUGAGUCUGAAUGUUAAUUACACCAGUCUUUUGGGUCUGGGGUUUUUCUUCCCUCAAGGGGUGAGCAGCUCAGGGAGCUUUAGGGAGAGCUCCUGUCCCUGCAGUGGCCCGUGGUGUGGUGGAACAGGAGGGACAGCAUUGCUAGGGAGAUGCCCCAGAGAUUAGAGGCUCUGGGCUUGACUCAGGCCCGUGUGACUCACCUGAACACCCGUAUUCCCACGGAAGCUGUGGAAAGCUCCUGUGUCUCACUCUAUCCCCAGCUCUCAACUCCAGGCCUGUUGGAUGCUCUCCCUCCCUGCCACUUGCCCAGACAGGUGAGUGCCACACGCAGGUGGGACUCACACACUGCUGAGUGACCCUGACACAGUACAAAUCUGAGCAACUUUACUUCAUAAAUGCUUCAGGUUUCAUUUUAUUUUCCUCUUUUGCUGUCCUCCUCAGGGAUGUCUUCCUGUGAUUCUCAGUACCACACACAUCCCAACAAACCCAAGGUGUAUUAAUACAGACAGAAUGUGAAAUGCAAGUGAAAGAAACAGUCUGCAGAACAAAUCUCAUGGUAUUUGGAUUGCUCAUGGGCUAAGCAAGAAGGCAGGAGAAAAAUCAUCACCAGUGAGAAGCUUCGCAGUGAGAAAAGCCUUUUUUCAGCAAAAGAUUGUUAAGUAACACCAUUAAAUAUUGAACGAUGCUGAGGUGUGUCUGUACACAGCCUCCUUUUGGCUCGGUGUGAUGCAGAUUUUAUUUCUUCCUCUGCAGAAAUCAUGAAAUCCUGUUUUAAAUCACGAUGGAAGAGCCAAUCAGAUAAAACCUGUACCUUGCCACUACUACUUUUAUGAUUUGUUAAGUUCACUGGAAUGAGUAAUACAGCGUGAAUAGAACAUUUUAAAUACCCCUUGGCAGUCACUGAAGUACAAUAAUCAUUUAAAAGACAGGAAUUACAAAACUCCAUGUGCAGCUGGUGCCACAUCAAACCAAAGGGAGCCUUGUCUGGGUGAUUUUCACCUCCUGAGUGGCUGGGGACCUCUGCACUCUCAUUUUGUAUUUCACCAGAGCUGUUGAGAAUAAAUAAAUAAUAAACUGAACAGCAAAAAGCAAGUCAUUCUGAGCAGCCUCUGGCAGCAGUUUGCUCUCAUAAUGCUGUUUGGUGAGCUGGAGGCAUCCAGCUCAUUUCCUAAAGAGCAUUUUCUGCUUAGGUCAGGGCUCUAUUAAUCUGUUCAAGCCAAUUCUAUAAAAUCCAAACCAUCUGUAUUUGGGAAGAUCAUGGUUUAUUUGGAUUUUCUUUGUGUCUGCUGUCAGUAGAUUAUUAAAAGUACGAGGGAUUUACAGUGUAAA